CUUUGUCAAUCUCUCCCAGUAGGAGAACGAACAUCAUGUCCCGGUACUAGACUAUUACAGAGAAACAUGUCGACACAACUUCAGAGUUUGAACACAGCAUUACCGGUAAAAUAGGGCUACAAUUUGUAAACGUUACCGCUUGAAUUAUAUACUCACAUAGGAGGAAAUUGACGGUAACAACCUUUUGACAAUGUUGCAACCAGACCUACCCGGUCGCCAUUUUCCUUUGAUUAUUUACAAUAGCCGUCGCUAGGGAAGCACACACCUCUCUCUUUCUACCCAGGGUGCAGGUUCCCUCUUUAUUUGAACUUAUACGCAAAACAGCCAUGCCUAAAAGGAGCAAAGCAAGCGCUGAUGUUGAGGCAGCAGAGCCUAAGAGGAGAUCUGAGAGAUUGGUAAAUAAACCUGCAAUUGCAAAGGCAGAGCCCAAGCCAAAGAAGGAGAAGGCAGCACCUAAACCCAAGAAGGCUAAAGAGGUGAAAAAGACCGAGCCUGAGAAGGAGGUGCCCGCAGAGAAUGGAGAAGCCAAAGCUGAGGAAGAGGCACCAGAAGAACCUGAACAGAAAGAGGAAGAAGAGGCGGCCGAAUAACAUCUCUCAAACCACAUCUUUUAUCAGUGCUCCCUGUACCUCUUUUUCUUGUACAAUUCAGGGGUAUAUUUUUAUCGACUAUUUUCUAAAUGCAGGUUUUUUAGUAGUUUGAUUGUAGAAACACAUUUUUUUAUGAAAUAAAAAAUACAAUUUGAGAUGGGGAUUUCAUUGCAUCCCAUGUUUUUACAUCUCUGGAACAAUUACGGUCAUUGUAAAUGUCAACGGUUUUUAUUUUCGAUAUGGGGGAGGGGUGGGAAUGAGACAGGUUACUACACCAAGAACAUGCAAGCACGUCGUUUACAGGAUCUGGUCAAAACAACAGAGAGCUUGUCUGAGAGACUAACAUUCCAUAGGCUAUAUGAGGGAAGGUAUACGUAACCUGCAUUGUGUGGUGGGGAUGAAUUAACUCAAGGGGGAACACAUUGUUUUAUUGUUUAUAAUGAGGAAAACAUUUUAAGGUGUUUAAACUGUGUUCCAUAUGUUAACUCUUGUACUCAUUAUGUUUUUCUUUACCAUUCUGCUCAAUAAACCUAUUCCCUAGUACUGGAGUUCCUCCCUAUCAGGCCUGUGCAUUGGGUGUAAUUGGUUGGCUCUGUUCUGUGAUAGCAUUGCAAUAAAUUUGUAUAGCUGCUAUUAAAAGGGGUUUUCGACUUUCUAUAUGCAGUGUGUAAUGGUACAUUGUGAGUAUGGUAAAAAUGGAAUUGUGUUCUUAGCCAAGCUAAAGAAGUACAUAAGUUAAAUAUACUGACGAUUAUGGUUCCUUGGAUGCUGAGAAACUGUACAUCCAUUUGAGCUGUCAAAUACACAAACCAGCAGUAGCAAUAUUCAUGUGGGGUUUAGGUAUCAAGUACAAGUGUACAGUUCUUUUAUCCUUUGUUUAUAGAUGUAUCUGUGUAAUGAUUGGUAUAAACAAACCAAUAAAAAUUUGGUUGUACUUGUUUUGUUCUUUGUGUGAUGGAAAUGGACAAUGUCUGAAUCCAAAUAAUCAUGUAAAAACUAAAUUAUUUUAGAUGCCAGUUCUGUCCACAUAUGUAAUGCAGUAGCUAAAUAAUACCAGUUCUGAGACUGACAUGAAAAACGUUACUUGGUUAUUAGACUCCUGUCAGACUCAUUCCAUGGGCACAUUGUUUUCACUCCACCCAUUAGAAUGCAAUUUUGUGUGGCUCCAAUAUGUUUUUUGGGGGGAAAAUAUUGUGAAACUAUCUUUCCACUAUUACUGUAGAUACUGUAUAUUAAGGACAUUUCCUGAAAUUACAAUGCAAACAUAUAGCUAAUUUAAGUACCGUAGGGCUGCAAGAAAGAAACUCACCAUAUAUUCAGUACAUUAAGAAGUGUGUAUCACACCUAGAACAAAGGCUAGCACAUAUACUAAACAAAAAUAUGAACGCACCAUGUAAAGUGUUGGUCUCAUGUCUCAUGAGCUGAAAUAAAAGAUCCCAGAAAUGUUCCAUAUGCAGA
ensembl:lncRNA